AGAAUUGGGAGGCCUUGAAUGCCAUUGAUGCAUGCAUGGAAAGGUUGAGAAAAAUCCGCAGACAAUUGCAUGAAACUUCUCGCUCUAGCGCGGGGUUGUAUAUUGUGCAGGAAGUUGAAUGUACGUAUUCAAAAGCAUAAAUACAGACCAAGGCAAAACAACAGUGAAAUGCUAUGUUAGAGCUGCUGACUUGACGCUUACUUUUGUGACAGGUGAUCCUGCAUUAUAGAAGUCCUGCCACAGUGCUCUCCUGUGUGCUUGGACUUCACUGGUGCUCUGUUUCUGUGAUCUGAGUUUUGAGCAAGUAGUGGUUGAACAUCUCAUAUGCCAGUGGUUAUCCUAUUGGUUAUGGCUAUCCUCUAUUCAAGAAAUUCUGCCGGUUGUAAUUAUGAGGCUGCCGGGAUUGUUUUGCUCACAUUGAACUCCAGUCUACGCAGCUGAAAACUAUCGUCUGUGGUGGCCCUAAGGUACUGGUGCUUUGAGAUGGCUGUGAAAUUGUCCACAAAACACUGAUCUCAACCAGAGACUCUUACAAGUGCAAUUGUGCCAUCGCAGCUAUUGAAUUCUCAGUGUGUGUCGACAUUUAUGUAUAUAUGCUCGUUACAAGGACAGUCAUUGCUUUGGUCAGUAAGGGGCUUCCAUAAGUUUUCAAGCUUCACCGAGUACCGACAAUGCACAAGGAUGGCAAAUUACUGAGACAUUCCUGCUGUUGCCCCCGCCUCUUCUGCAUGAAUGUCUGCGUGACCUAAAUGAUCUGUAAUAUCCACUCUAAUUUCUUGUUCAUUUGCUCAUUUCCCACCA